rnacentral:rRNA from 1 species
UACGGAGGGUGCAAGCGUUGUCCGGAAUCACUGGGCGUAAAGGGCGCGUAGGCGGCUCGUUGCGUCGGCUGUGAAAACCCGCAGCUCAACUGUGGGCUUGCAGCUGAUACGGGCGGGCUGGAGUUCGGUAGGGGAGACUGGAAUUCCUGGUGUAGCGGUGAAAUGCGCAGAUAUCAGGAGGAACACCGGUGGCGAAGGCGGGUCUCUGGGCCGAUACUGACGCUGAGGAGCGAAAGCGUGGGGAGCAAACAGG